CGCGUUGUCCGCCUGCCGCGCGAGUCGACGUCACUCUAACCAACUCUAACCUUACACGUUGCGCCUAACUGACCAACAACACACCGCGAGCCUCGUAACGUACAACACGCGCGCGCGGUCGCGCGCAAUGCGAAAGCGGAUUUUCGUGUAUUCCGUUUCGAUCGCCCGAAUGCCCAGGAACGGAAGGAGAACGAACGUGCGGAUCGUUGGAUUCAUCAAUUCCCUGUUCGCGACGUUCGAAACCGAGUCCGUCGCGGCCUCCAGCAGCUGAUCUCGACGUGACAUAACCAAAGCGCGACCAAACAUUGCAGGACUUCGAAUAUUUAAAGCUAGUACGUCAAUUUGUUGCAAAGACGGGAAGAAUAAUUGUAACGCGAGACUACUAAAAGAAACAGUCUAAAUGUAAAAGGUGUGCGAGAUCAUUCUUUUUAAGAAAGAAGACACGGAAUUUGGAUAUACAGUGUAAACAUUUGCGAGGACAUGGAGCUAGAAACGCUGCUGCGGAGCUGCGCUUCGGCAAAGAAAUCUGAUGAGAAUUCUCAAGAAGACGAGAAGAGAGAGGACGAAUACUUUCAAAAGAUGUAUCAGCAAUGGAAGGGCGUGAAGGCUAAAGACGAUUCCACUUACAAAGUCAUACCGAAGUUCUACUUCAAGUUGCCGAAGGAAGAUGAAAUUCUACCGCAGAAGUUGCGCGAGGAGACACGUGCCUUAUUCCUGCAGAGACGUUCCCGACAAUUGCUCGACAACAACGAGCUGAAGGCACUCUGGGUUCUGUUGGACAAACACCACAGUCCACCCUUGUCAGGGGAGGAGCAGUUGAUUAAUUACGAGGACUUUAAGAAAGUAGGCAAACUGGCGGGAGCGAAGUGCAGUCCGUAUUUCACCGCGGUUGUCUUCGCCAAACUGCAACAAGGAGAUCCACACGGUAGAAUCAGCAUCAUGGCGCUGUUCAAUUAUGUCAUGCGAAAAGUUUGGUUGCAUCAAACGAGAAUCGGACUGUCUUUGUAUGACAUUACGGGACAGGGUUAUCUCAGAGAGUCGGAUUUGGAGAAUUACAUCUUAGAACUGAUACCAACGUUGUCGCAACUCGAAGGGCUGGAGAAGUCCUUCCAUUCGUUUUACGUGUGUACAGCAGUCAGGAAGUUCUUGUUCUUCCUCGACCCGCUACGAACCGGCAGAGUUCGUAUUCAGGAUAUUUUAGCGUGCAGCUUUCUGGACGAUCUGCUAGAAUUGAGAGACGAGGAUUUGCCGAAGGAUUUGCAAGAGGCGAACUGGUUCUCUGCCCCAUCGGCCCUUAAAGUGUACGGGCAAUAUCUUAAUCUCGACAGAGAUCACAAUGGAAUGUUGAAUAAAGAGGAACUCGCUGGAUAUGGCACUGGUACUCUAACCGGCGUUUUUCUCGAGCGGGUGUUUCAAGAAUGCCUUACGUACGAAGGCGAGAUGGAUUACAAAACAUAUCUGGAUUUCGUUCUGGCAUUAGAAAAUCGGCACGAACCUCAGAGUCUUCAUUAUCUCUUUCGGAUUCUCGACAUCAAUAAUCGCGGUUACUUGGACACUUUUUGUCUCAAUUAUUUCUUCAGGGCUAUACAAGAACAGAUGACGAUGCAUGGCCAAGAACCCGUUAGUUUUGAAGAUGUCAAAGACGAGAUAUUCGAUAUGGUGAAGCCGGCAGAUCCGUGCAAAAUUACGCUGCAGGAUUUAUUGUCUUGCGGACAAGGCGACACGAUGGUCAGUAUCCUGAUCGAAUUCCACGGCUUUUGGGCGUACGAGAAUCGCGAAGCCAUGGCGGCUGACACCGGGGAUGAGUCGUCCCAUGUAUGACGAAGCACUGCCCAUCCGAGAAUACGAGAUAAACGUCCCACCGGGAUAGAUAGUGCACGAUUGGACGUUAACACUUAACUGUGUUUGACACGACGAUUGUGAUACUCUCGCGUUUUUUUUUUGGUAGUAAUAAAAUGUUUACAACUCAUCAUGUGCCAGAGCAUGGCAAUCUCACUAUCACACAUGUACAGAAUUUUAGAAUUAAUAUAUUCUAUAUUUAUAUUUUUUUUAUAUUUCUCAGUUAAUUUCGUUGCCACGAAUAUCUAGACUAGCCGACUGUAUGAAACAUCGUGAUUCUUAAAUUUACUCUCAAUUUGACAACACGUAACUUUUUCCUUCGCGACAAUUCACGGCAAUACAAACGAUUUACAAUAAAAUUUAAAUGCGCAAGUUUGUAAUUUGUACCGUACGAGAAAUGCUUUCGUGGACCAAUCACGUGGCGUGAUUUCAAACCGUGGGGUCAAACAAUGAGAUCAUACGGUCGCAUCAGUAGCGUACUAUUAAAUACGAUUCAAGUGUUUUGCUCAAGGGCCCAAGUUUGUAAGAGAGUCGGAGAAUGAAAAAAGAAUAAACGUUUUUUUUCUACUUUUAGAAAAAA